AGACAGCUGACGAAGGCGCCGUCGCCGUUGCCCAGAGGGAAGGCGGGCUGCAGAGCCACGGGCCGGGCGUCGGAGCGGCAGAACUUGGGUGCCAAGCUGAGCACGUCGCCGCCGACCCCGCCGCUGCUGCUGCAUGACACGUACUCCAGAUCUGGGGACCCUUCACCUGCCUCUACUACUGCAAAUGAUUGGAUAUUCGUCUGACUUGGCUCUUCCCUAAUGUGUGGAACUAAUUUUGUUCACUCUGUUUCAUGCUGGACCUGGCCUGAAAAUGGGCCCUUAUAUUGUCUUUGCACUUUCCAACUUGCCAAGUUUCUGAAAGAAGGACCAAAGUAAUGCCAAGAACUCCCAGAUGAAGAGGACCUUCCUUAGACCUAUAACAGAUUCACUACUUGACUUCAGAGGGAAGUUUCAGCUAAUUCUCAGGAAAAGGUCAAAACAGGCCUGUGACUGUCCCUUGAAUACUGAAGGUAUAAACAAGCUUCUGGCUCCUCCAGGUCAAGCAGAGGAACACUUUUAUUAGAAUGAAGGGUUACUUCUUUGUUAUUCAAACACACACCCACACACAUCCUCUGUAGUCUCCCUAAUGAAAAACCUCAACAGAUGGAGAGCCUGAGCUCCCAAGUCCGCAGGCUGAGAAGAUGCACUUCACUCAAGGGCCAGUGGGCUGGUACAGACUAGGGAAGAGAAAAGGGACAAAGGCUGCUAGUAUAGGUAAUCACUAUCUUUUAAUACUCCUAACACAUAGAAAUUCGAAAAAUCUUGUUCAGCAAUGUUAGCAGCCUGUGAGCCUCGGAAACUAAUUUGGCUGAUGUGUCUCUGAUAGGGAGCUUGGGGCUGCACCAAGGGGAAACAUUCUCCUCCUGUAUUCUCUCCUCUCUCUCGUUUGAAAGCCUGUACAAAGAAAUGGUACAAAUGGAUGGUUAACUUAAUGAUUCCAUCAGAGGCAGAUUUUUCUCUGUCAGGUCCCUGGAUAAGGUGGAGGUCUGAAAGCCAGGAGACAGAAUAUGUACUUAAUCGCCCUUUCUGACCUGCUUACCAGUGACCAGGACUACUCUCCAGGCCUUUCUUCUGCCACUUCCCCAUUCUUCCUGGCUAGUUCAGUUGGGUCUCAGCACUUCAACUCCUGGCUGGAUCCUGAGUUUUUCUUGGUUGCAGGGAAAGCUCUCACUGUCUGCAUCUCCUUCCCCACCCCCACCUCCCGUUUUGCAGCUGGCCAUUCUGGCUGCCUCACAGCUAUCCUGCCUUAAUUCAUAUUUGAUUGCCUGGACAGAACCACCUAGAAUGUCCAGACGACUGCCACCCCUCAGCCAUGGGCCUGAGAUCCUGCCCUGACCCCUUUCUUCAGACCCCAGGAGGACCCACAAUCUCCCUGAUCCCCACCUUCCCCAAAGUAGUCUCUAGGAAAAAAGCAGAGCUGGCUAAGGCCUGAGACAGAGCCAUUUCUUCCCCUUGGGCAAACGAGGUAGACCCUCCCAGAGACCAAUGCCGGAGAGGCCCGGAUCCGAGCUCCCUUUAUAUGGCCUCCCCCAUCACGGAUCCCGUGGGAAAACCUGACACACAAUGGCGCGGCUGCUCCGGGCACCCUCAACCCAGCGCCCUGCGGCAAGGCCUGGAGCAGCCUGGUGGUCUUGGUGCGCUCCCUUUGCCCUCCCCGCAACCCUCUGCGAGCACUCGUCCCAGGAGAGAGACCCUGGCUAGGGUGGAGGUUGCCUCCCGCAAAGGGCGCUGUUGCUGGGGCCUCCCCUCCCCCAUUCUCUUGUUUUUCUGCUUCUGAGACUCGGGAGGGAGGCGGCAGGCGCCUCCGCAGCCGAUAGAGCAGCUAUUGUGACCUUCCCUUGCAGAGCGGGAACCCAGCCGAGUGUGUACCGCCGGCGGUGGCGGGGGAGGAGGCGACUGUGUGUGCAAACCUCAGUCGGAGAGGGGGUGGCGCUGGGAAAUAAAGGUUUGCAACCUCAGGCAGUUGGGCCCUUCAGAGGGCGUUUGGUUGUGUUUAGACUCGGUUGCUUUCUAACACUAAUUGCAGGCUCAAAAGGAGCGGAAUUUAUUGCGAAGGCCAAGGCGGCUUGUUUAUAAUUUAUGAAGUUUUAAAUGGCUGUGCCGCGGGCCCCAACUUUCUCCUGGGCUGGCAGCCGCGCGGAAACGCGCCCUCCCCCGGCUCGCCGCCCACCCCCACCCACGCCCCUCAGAUGAGUCUCACGCCAAUGGCAGGAACAGAUCCGAGCUAUUAGAAGUCUCGGGAACCUCCAGAGAUGACAGAAGGUGGCAGAUUUGGUCCAAGCCCUCACCCCACUCGAGAGGAGGGCGUCGGGGAAAGCUGUGGCUGCCUGGAGAGGGAGCCCCUGAUCCCACACUUCCUUGGAGCCUGAGUGUGAGAGGAAGCUAAUGUCAGCCGGGCUAGACACCGUUUAAAGUCUAAUCCAUGAAACCCUAAGCCGCAAAUGACACUUGGGGCUUUGCAGACACCCGCAGACUCAGCAGAUACUCCUGCGGUAACACACUGUGCUGGAAAACGCCUGGAGCCAUGACACAUUACGUAUUUUUAUUAUUAUUUAUGGUAGGAAGAGGAGAUGAGGGAAAAUCGGGCUGAAUCUAAGCAGCCUGACAAUUCAGCUAGUUAAUAUUUAGCCAGUUAAGAAAGGUGGUUGUAAUCCCUGCAAGGCAGUGAGCUCUCCUUUGAUUUCUCUAAUAGCUUAAAAAAUAAUUUCUUACAAGACAAUUAGAAAUUCUGCCUAUGGAUGCAAAUUUCAUAGAAAACAAUGUUAAGCCUUGAAAGUGGGUAAAAUGUGCCUUCGAUUGAAGUCAUUUAUUCUGUUGAUACACUUCUACAACAUAUAUAUUUUAAACCUGCUCAGAUAAAGUGAAAUUUAGCAAAAGGAUAUCCCCUCCCACCCCCAAAUCUAACAUGCCAUUUUAAAAACAGCACAAAGGAACAAGGAAACUAAAUAUUAUUUUGAGCCAUCAUUACUUAGUGAAAUACAAACAUCCAAAUAGAAACGAUUGUUGUUCCACCAGAAGAUUAGAAGUUAAAUUAUUUCCACACAAUAGGAAUUUCACUUCGUGUCAUCGGGGAUGUAGUAGGAGUUGCAUUAUUUGUCAAACCAAAUAGAGAUGCGUGGGCUGACUUUGCUGAAAUACAAAAGAAUUGAACCUUAUCUGAAGGCGUUUUCUAAGUGGCCCCUCCCAUAGAAGCCGGGAAGUUGUCCACCCCUAGCAGAAGCCACAUUAAUAUUUACAAAAUGGUUAUAAAUCCUUGAAGACAUUUUUGCCCAUUUUGUAUAAGAAACAGGAGUAAACAAGGUGUUUAUACUUGUUAUGUUUCAUUAAUGAAAUAUUAUUACUUUACAUCUUGGGGAAUGUUUGUUUUCUUUAGAAAUGAACUAAUGAUCACUACAAAGGAAGAAUUCAUGACAGCAUUUCCUAGAGAAAAAGCUUAGGUACGCGUCUCCAAAUGAUGGUUUCUUUUUCUACACCUUAGCUUUUUCAUAGCUCAAUUCUUCUUACAACUUCUCUUGUGUUUUUUCUUUGAUUGUCAGUUUUCUUUCAAAGUUUAUUUUUUGUUACUUAAUGCAGAAAAGUGAGCUCUGGUCUCCCCAGUGUAAAAGUCGAUUGUGUCUAGAAAGAAGGCAGUAAAAACAGCAAAGCAGGCGCUGCUUUCAAAAAGCCCUGCCCAAAUCAUCCCGCCCAGAACCUUCUUAGGUUUGCAUCCUCAUUUCCCCCUCCCCUAAUUUCAAUAGCUGGAAAGUAAUCAAGUAUCCCGAGAACCAAUUUAUGCACUAGACUCCAAAUAAAUAAAAUAUUUUUUUCAAA
rnacentral:lncRNA from 1 species